rnacentral:rRNA from 1 species
UGGGGAAUAUUGCACAAUGGGGGAAACCCUGAUGCAGCGACGCCGCGUGAGUGAAGAAGUAUUUCGGUAUGUAAAGCUCUAUCAGCAGGGAAGAAAAUGACAGUACCUGACUAAGAAGCCCCGGCUAACUACGUGCCAGCAGCCGCGGUAAUACGUAGGGGGCAAGCGUUAUCCGGAUUUACUGGGUGUAAAGGGAGCGUAGGUGGUAAUGCAAGUCAGAAGUGAAAACCCCGUGCUUAACAUGGGGACUGCUUUUGAAACUGUAUAACUAGAGUGCAGGAGAGGUAAGUGGAAUUCCUAGUGUAGCGGUGAAAUGCGUAGAUAUUAGGAGGAACACCGGUGGCGAAGGCGGCUUACUGGACUGUAACUGACACUGAGGCUCGAAAGCGUGGGGAGCAAACAGG